UUAAGUUAUUAAGGGCGCACGGUGGAUGCCUUGGCACUAGAAGCCGAUGAAGGACGUUACUAACGACGAUAUGCUUUGGGGAGCUGUAAGUAAGCUUUGAUCCAGAGAUUUCCGAAUGGGGAAACCCAGCAUGAGUUAUGUCAUGUUAUCGAUAUGUGAAUACAUAGCAUAUCAGAAGGCACACCCGGAGAACUGAAACAUCUUAGUACCCGGAGGAAGAGAAAGAAAAUUCGAUUCCCUUAGUAGCGGCGAGCGAAAUGGGAAGAGCCCAAACCAACAAGCUUGCUUGUUGGGGUUGUAGGACACUCUAUACGGAGUUAUAAAGGACGACAUUAGACGAAUCAUCUGGAAAGAUGAAUCAAAGAAGGUAAUAAUCCUGUAGUCGAAAAUGUUGUCUCUCUUGAGUGGAUCCUGAGUACGACGGAGCACGUGAAAUUCCGUCGGAAUCUGGGAGGACCAUCUCCUAAGGCUAAAUACUCUCUAGUGACCGAUAGUGAACCAGUACCGUGAGGGAAAGGUGAAAAGCACCCCGGAAGGGGAGUGAAAUAGAACCUGAAACCGUGUGCUUACAAGUAGUCAGAGCCCGUUAAUGGGUGAUGGCGUGCCUUUUGUAGAAUGAACCGGCGAGUUACGAUUUGAUGCAAGGUUAAGCAGUAAAUGUGGAGCCGUAGCGAAAGCGAGUCUGAAUAGGGCGUUUAGUAUUUGGUCGUAGACCCGAAACCAGGUGAUCUACCCUUGGUCAGGUUGAAGUUCAGGUAACACUGAAUGGAGGACCGAACCGACUUACGUUGAAAAGUGAGCGGAUGAACUGAGGGUAGCGGAGAAAUUCCAAUCGAACCUGGAGAUAGCUGGUUCUCUCCGAAAUAGCUUUAGGGCUAGCCUCAAGUGAUGAUUAUUGGAGGUAGAGCACUGUUUGGACGAGGGGCCCCUCUCGGGUUACCGAAUUCAGACAAACUCCGAAUGCCAAUUAAUUUAACUUGGGAGUCAGAACAUGGGUGAUAAGGUCCGUGUUCGAAAGGGAAACAGCCCAGACCACCAGCUAAGGUCCCAAAAUAUAUGUUAAGUGGAAAAGGAUGUGGCGUUGCCCAGACAACUAGGAUGUUGGCUUAGAAGCAGCCAUCAUUUAAAGAGUGCGUAAUAGCUCACUAGUCGAGUGACACUGCGCCGAAAAUGUACCGGGGCUAAACAUAUUACCGAAGCUGUGGAUUGUCCUUUGGACAAUGGUAGGAGAGCGUUCUAAGGGCGUUGAAGCAUGAUCGUAAGGACAUGUGGAGCGCUUAGAAGUGAGAAUGCCGGUGUGAGUAGCGAAAGACGGGUGAGAAUCCCGUCCACCGAUUGACUAAGGUUUCCAGAGGAAGGCUCGUCCGCUCUGGGUUAGUCGGGUCCUAAGCUGAGGCCGACAGGCGUAGGCGAUGGAUAACAGGUUGAUAUUCCUGUACCACCUAUAAUCGUUUUAAUCGAUGGGGGGACGCAGUAGGAUAGGCGAAGCGUGCGAUUGGAUUGCACGUCUAAGCAGUAAGGCUGAGUAUUAGGCAAAUCCGGUACUCGUUAAGGCUGAGCUGUGAUGGGGAGA
rnacentral:rRNA from 2 species